rnacentral:lncRNA from 1 species
AUGUCAGAUGUUGGGGCCAGAUUUUCCCCUCCCUGUCAAUUUAGAGUGAAUCUGCAGGCAAGUGAUUUAUUUCUUUUUUCAGCUUCAGAUGGUCCAAAAAAUGCUGAAGGAAUGAUAAGAAAGGUGACAAGGAACAGCAGAACAGCAGAAUGGUCCUUUUUCUUUGCUCUCAGAGGAAACAGGCUGAGACCAGAGCAGUGCAAAUGCUUCUCAGAGUUAUGCUACCCAGGAUCUAACUCCAGAAAACCUUCUGGCAAUGAGACAUGAGUAUCAACAUCAGCCUUGAUGUAACUCCACUGACAUCACCGGGACCAUGCUACGGCAGAAGUUAUUCCUCUGAGAGGAAGUUCUCUGUUUUAAGAUGAAGAAGAUACAGAAGCAAAACGAGAAGCAGAAUCCAGUGAAUGGGUCCAUUCAUGAGGAUGGAAAGUUUUGGUAGGGUGGACUGAAUCCUGAACUGUCAUUGCUACUUUUUCUCCUCGGCCUUUGACUUGGAGAGGUUUUGUAAGAUGUCAUUCCAUACACACAGACUAAUUCCCCACUCAACAUACCAGUGGCAUUACCCGCCUCUGGCCUCCCACACGCUGUCAUACCCUUAUCGGGACACUCACACACAUGCUAGUGCCAGGACCCUUUGGUAGCUUCAUAAAAAAGCAAAGCCAGUCUUAUGAGUCAGGAUCUGGUAACGCUGAGUGCUGGAGAAAAUGUGCACAAACAGAUAAGCGCAAGGCUAAGGAUAGUGCCUGCCUUCUGGGACUGCCUCUGCUUUAAUGUUACCCAGAAGACAAAGUUGAGAACAUGAAGACCUCUGUAGGCUCCUAUUACUGGUCUGAAAGUUCCUAGGACUUUAUAGGAUGACUGGGAUGGAAGUUUUUAACCCGAUCUUCCCAGGAGAUCUUCCCCAUAUUUCUUGAAACACCUCCAUAUUUAAGAGUGUCAUAUCUUCUUUACAUACAAAUGGACAUUUGUUUGCUCAAAAGUCCAUUCAAUGAAAACGGUGCUUCCCAUGCGGUGAGGGAAAAUCAGAUGCAUUCAACCACACUUCUGCUCCCUCAGCCUUCUCUUGAUUCUCACCUUAGCAUGUCAACCACUUCAUACAUAACUCAGCUGUUCUAGAGCUCAGCUAUUUCACAUAUCCUAGGUCCAAUCUGCUCUGUGGGUAGGGGUUUUCAGGUAAAAAAACUGUAAGUGAAGGUGUGAAGGUUAGCUCUGGAGAUUUAGCCCAGGAAAUAGGAUUCUGUCCUAACUGAGCUGGCUUCGCCAGAAC